UUAACUACGAAGAUGGAGACAGUUUAUAAAGGAAACUUAGAGAGAACUUGUGGCUGGUGAAAACAAGGAAGUCAAAUUUAUAAUGAAUCACUCCUGAGUAGCGUCCUGAAGAUAAGUAGGGAUUAGCCGUCAGUCGCGUUAAGACAUUGAGAGCAUAUCUAUGUGAUAUGAAAAAAGGUGGUACCGCGUUUAAACGUCCUUUAU
rnacentral:ncRNA from 1 species